GGGCCCUUAGCUCAAUCGGUUAGAGCAUCCGGCUCAUAACCGGCAGGUUCUGGGUUCAAGUCCCGGAGGGCCCACCA
rnacentral:tRNA from 1 species